rnacentral:rRNA from 1 species
GGAUAAUCUACCCUUAGGACUGGGAUAACCCUGGGAAACUGGGGCUAAUACCGGAUAGGCAAUUUUUCCUGCAAUGGUUUUUUGUUUAAAUGUUUUUUCGCCUAAGGAUGAGUCUGCGGCCGAUUAGGUAGUUGGUUAGGUAAUGGCUUACCAAGCCGGUGAUCGGUACGGGUUGUGAGAGCAAGAGCCCGGAGAUGGAACCUGAGACAAGGUUCCAGGCCCUACGGGGUGCAGCAGGCGCGAAACCUCCGCAAUGUGAGAAAUCGCGACGGGGGGAUCCCAAGUGCCAUUCUUAACGGGAUGGCUUUUCAUUAGUGUAAAGAGCUUUUGGAAUAAGAGCUGGGCAAGACCGGUGCCAGCCGCCGCGGUAACACCGGCAGCUCUAGUGGUAACAAUUUUUAUUGGGCCUAAAGCGUCCGUAGCCGGUUUAAUAAGUCUCUGGUGAAAUCCUGUAGCUUAACUGUGGGAAUUGCUGGAGAUACUAUUAGACUUGAGACCGGGAGAGGUUAGAGGUACUCCCAGGGUAGAGGUGAAAUUCUGUAAUCCUGGGAGGACCGCCUGUUGCGAAGGCGUCUAACUGGAACGGUUCUGACGGUGAGGGACGAAAGUUAGGGGCGCGAACCGGAUUAGAUACCCGGGUAGUCCUAACUGUAAACGAUGCGGACUUGGUGUUGGGGUGGCUUUGAGCUGCUCCAGUGCC